UUUCAACUAUGGCAAAUAGAUGCUGCUGGUAUCAAUGACCCAUUCAUUCACCUCAUCUACAUGUUCCAAUAUGAGUUUACCCAUAGCAAAUCCCAUGACAUACUCAAGGCUGAGAAUGGGGAAAUUUUUCAGGAACGAGAUCCCACUAACAUCUAAUAUCGUGAUGCUGGUACCGAGUAUAUUUUAGAGUUUACUAGUGUCUACAUAAGCAUGAUAAAGGCCUAACCCACUUGUAGGGUGGAGCCAAAAGGGUCAUCAUCGUAGUCCCUUUUGCUGAUGCCCCCAUUGUG
rnacentral:lncRNA from 1 species